rnacentral:rRNA from 1 species
GACGAACGCUGGCGGCGUGCCUAAUACAUGCAAGUAGAACGCACAGGAUGCACCGUAGUUUACUACACCGCAUUCUGUGAGUUGCGAACGGGUGAGUAACGCGUAGGUAACCUGCCCGGUAGCGGGGGAUAACUAUUGGAAACGAUAGCUAAUACCGCAUAAGAACAUUUACUGCAUGGUAGAUGUUUAAAAGGUGCAAGAGCAUCACUACCAGAUGGACCUGCGUUGUAUUAACUGGUUGGUGAGGUAACGGCUCACCAAGGUGACGAUCAGUAGCCGACCUGAGAGGGUGAUCGGCCACAUUGGAACUGAGACACGGUCCAAACUUCUACGGAAGGCAGCAGUAGGGAAUCUUGCACAAUGGGCGAAAGCCUGAUGCAGCAACGCCGCGUGAAGGAUGAAGGCCUUCGGGUUGUAAACUUCUGUUCUAAGGGAAGAAAGAAAUGACGGUACCUUAGGAGCAAGCCCCGGCUAACUACGUGCCAGCAGCCGCGGUAAUACGUAGGGGGCAAGCGUUAUCCGGAAUUAUUGGGCGUAAAGAGUGCGUAGGUGGUUACCUAAGCGCAAGGUUUAAAUUAGAGGCUCAACCUCUACAUGCCUUGCGAACUGGGCUACUUGAGUGCAGGAGGGGAAAGCGGAAUUCCUAGUGUAGCGGUGAAAUGCGUAGAUAUUAGGAGGAACACCGGCGGCGAAGGCGGCUUUCUGGACUGUAACUGACACUGAGGCACGAAAGCGUGGGUAGCAACAGG